rnacentral:rRNA from 1 species
CCUACGGGAGGCAGCAGUGGGGAAUAUUGCACAAUGGGGGAAACCCUGAUGCAGCGACGCCGCGUGAGUGAAGAAGUAAUCCGUUAUGUAAAGUUCUAUCAGCAGGGAAGAAAAUGACGGUACCUGCGUAGGAAGCCCCGGCUAACUACGUGCCAGCAGCCGCGGUAAUACGUAGGGGGCAAGAGUUAUCCGGAUUUACUGGGUGUAAAGGGAGCGUAGACGGCAGGGCAAGUCGGGAGUGAAAGGCGGGGGCUCAACCUCCGUACUGCACUGGAAACUGUACGGCUGGAGUGCAGGAGAGGUAAGGGGAAUUCCUAGUGUAGCGGUGAAAUGCGUAGAUAGUAGGAGGAACACCAGUGGCGUAAGCGGCUUACUGGACUGUAACUGACGUUGAGGCUCGAAAGCGAGGGGAGCAAACAGGAUUAGAUACCCCUGUAGUC